ensembl:lncRNA
ACUUCAUGUAUGCUUAAUGCUUCUAAUUCUCCUGGGCUGUAAUUAUCUCAGGAUGGGUAAAAGAGCUAUUUUUGGAAAUGUCAAUUUUCUUGAUUUAUUGGAAUUUAAGAGCUCCAGCAGCAGGCUCAGAGAGCGGCCCUCUAAAGGUUAAAACACGAGCCAUUUUGCACUAAUAAUCUGAGAGGAAGGUGUCCUGGGAAGGAAACUCUCAAUUUCCCCAUCCCAGGAAGGCCAGCAGACAUUCUGAGACAUUGAUUUAUGACUAGAAGUUUGCUAGAUUUUCACUGGAUUUGCUCAGGCAUUCCACCGCUGCUAAUAAGGUUGGAUAUAUCCCUUUGCUCAAAGAAAUGGCUUGUUCUCUGCUCCUGAGAUAUUGGUGAAAAGCUGUAAUUAAGAAAGCAUUGAAGCGGAUGAUCAAGCCAAUCCCUUAUUCGGAAAUCUUUCAAGCACACUGAGGAUGUGUUCGAAUUUGUCUGCCAGAGGAGUUCUGAAGCAUUUUCUGUUUUCAAAUCUGUGUGCACAAGGAAAAUUGAAGCCUGAUAUCUUAUUUACAGAAAUAUUCAUUAUUAUGCAUGUUAUUAUUGUUGUUCAAAUGUGCUAAAUACUGCACAUAAAACAAAGUACAGG